CCUACGAGGCUGCAAAGAUUUCCUCUUGUAUUUUCUUCUAGCAGUUUUGUUGUUUCCACUUUUACCUUCAGGUCUACGAUGCAGCUUGAAUUGAUGUCCGAUUGUUGGAGCACCGCUCACUGGAGAAUUUUACUUUCCCUGCUCAGCCACUCUGGGACCCGUGACAGAAACCACUGACCAUGUGCGUUGGGUCUGUUUUUAGACACUCCGUUCUGAUGCAUUGAUCUUUCCUUUUUCCAAUACCAUACUCUUUUGAUUACUGAUGGUGUGCUAGUUAUUUUCCUGAAGGAUCCAUCAGUCAUCCGGGACCCUCUGCGUGCUGAUGACCUGCGAGUGAAAUUCCUCCAACACAGGUGAGGUGGGUCUGUGGGCAGCAGGAGCCCCCGCAGGGCUCUUCAUUCCCGCUUCAGCCCCAGAAAACAUAGCUCAGGGAGGCUUUAAUUCAGACUUGGAGGUCAGAAGAUGACUUCGCAAAAACAAAAUUGGCAGCGAAAGUGGCUGAAAUUAAAUCUUUUCUUGGAUCUUGGCAGAAGAGAGGCUGACCUUGGAGGAAGGAGUUUGGGGAUCAAUUCCUUUCCUAUUUGUUAUUCAGGAGUAGAGGUGAGGGAGACAGGAGGCCAGCCCACACCCCGAUCAUGGUGCCAUUUGCUCAGCUGUCACCAGGAGCGGGUGUGGGGCUGCGGUCCCCUGCGGCCACAUUGCCCUGUGGAUUCAGGCCUCCUCAGGAAGCAGCCACGGUUUCGAGUCAGGAGCCUGACUCCCCCAACCCGCGGUGCAAUUUUGGGGGAAAAUGGGUGAAGUGAAGGGGCCCUCUGGAGGGGGCAUCCCGGCAAGGGUGGAGCAGAGGCAGCCAUGCACCAGGGGAGCCAGAGACCAGGCCAUGACCUGUGCAGACCCUGAUGGCGGAGAGCGAGCUCUCUUGGACGGAUCGGUGCGGAAGGAGAUGCCCUGUGGUCUGAGUCACAUUCUGGGAACAAGGGGGGAAGAGAGGUAGGAGCCAGAGUGCGACUAGAAAUGGUAUGAAGAUUAGCAGGGCACCCCUGAUGGGAUAAGUCCCCCUUGUGAGCCGCCACACCAGUCCUGUCUGCCUGGGGCACCGGCCUCUGCCUGACCCAGGGGGACCAGGGCCCUGGCUGAGCUGGAGCAGACCUGCCCACCUCCCAGGGAGAGCCGGGCUGAGGCCCCGAUGACAGGCACACCCUCAGAAUGACCCGACGCCUCUUCCUCCGCGUGCACACCUGGGCCGGCGGGCGGGGAGCCCCAGCUCAUCCCGGGUGUCCGUCAGCGGGUGCACACAGGGUCAGUGUCGGGGGGACGCGGGCCCAGGCCCCUUCUCCUCCAGGUCAGCCCCGCGCUCUUCCCCACUGUGCGUGGAGCUGCCCCUGGGCUGGUCACAUCCCUGCGCCAUGCCUCAGUGUUCCCAUCCAUGCAUGGGGAAUUUUAAAGCCUGCUUUCCUCGAGGGGAGCCGGGACGGGCUGAGCUAAGUUCUGUAGAGCGCCGCGGACGGGCAGACCCAGUUCCUGCUCACCGCACGCUGGGCUUCUAGAACAUACAGGAAUCCCACCUCCCACCUGGGCUUUCAGGUUCAGCCCUUCCCAGACAGAUCCGGCAGAGGAGGGGCCCCAGUCCCCCUAGGUCUUCCUCCCACCGCACAAGCUGUGCUCCUGGAGGGACAGUGAGCACAAGUAUCUUCUCAGGCUCCCGACGGCCCCGACACCCCUCCAGCCUUGUCUGCGCCUCCUGAGCCUCGUCUGGUGUCUCGGGAGCUCGGCAGCCCCAGCCCAGCUUCCUGGGGGCAGGGGAACGGGGAGAGGUCAGCAGGAGGCCUGUGACCUCAGUCACCCCUACCCCGCACGCCAGAUCUGGGGGGCAGAGGCAGCCCCGCAGGCAUGAGCUGACAUUCCCAGAACCCCCUCCAGGGCAGGGCAGAGGCGAGGAGGCAUCCAGGCUGGGAGCUGGCCCCCAGGGCUUCCAGCAUGGCUGGGUGAAGGUCUGAGCUGGGCCCUCCAAAAGGAGCCCGAGGGGAGGGGUCUGUACAGAGGAAGGGGACAUCUCCUGACCCGCGAGGGCCCUCCUCGGGGCCCUCUCACCUUCCCCACCAGGAAAUCCCGUGUGGCCUUCGGCCCCGGGGAAAGGUGACCCUCUUGCCAUGCCCCCUUUAUCCUUCCCCUCUGCCCAGAGGCCCCUGGGACAGGAAGUCUGUGCCCCAGGGGGCUUCGGGGAGGGUGGGAGAGAUUCAGGGAGAGGAGGCCGGCCAGGUGGCCAGGGCAGUGGGCAGCCAGCAAAGGCCUUCAGACCCAGAGCUUUCCAUCUCAGUGAGGUUUCUUAUAAAUGCAGAGUCUUGGGCCCCACCCUGCCUUCCUGAGCCAGGAUCUGAUUUUGGACAAGCCUCCUGCUGAAGCAUUCCCACCAAAGCGAGAGAAGACUGCUGGCCGGUAAAAGAGACCUUCACCCAGCGACACACGUCGCUAGGACCUAGUCUGAAUCCCGACUCUAACAAAUCACUUUGAAAAGACAUGUUUUAGACGACUGGAAAAAUCUGCCUCUGGACAGGCCAUCAGAUGAUACUAAGGAACCGGCCUUAGUGUUGUUAGGUAUGAUGAUGACACUGAGGCCCUGUAAGAAAGUGCCCAUGCCUUUAGAUGCCCGCUGGCGAUCUGGGUGAAGUAACACAAUGUCUGAGGGGGGCUCGGACACGUGAACAUGGGGCGGGGGCGGGGGCGGGUCAGAGAAGCGAGGACAAGCGUGGACGGCUGGUGUGGGGGCGGGGCUGUGUGCUCUGCUUCUGCGUCUGUUUGCAGGAUUUCUGCCGUGACUCUGAAGAUGUUUUAAAUUCGUGGCUGUCCCCCGGUGCCCGUGUCUCCUGUCACUGCCUUUGCUUGUCCCCGCAGACUCUGCAGGGGUCACGGCCGCAUCGUUCACACCCAGAGCACAGCCCUGCAGGAAGGUGGGCACUGGGGCACGGGCACCCACCCGGACCCUCUGCAUAGUCGGCGCCUCACCAGCGGACUCACCCCUGCCUUGGGCUGGACCUUGGGCCGGGGGGGUGGUCCUCUUCAGACCUUCCUGUAGUCCGCCCCACCACCACCCCCCCCCAACAGCCAGCCUGGGUCACUUCUGCCGUCAGGAAGGACAAGAAAGCUGUUUUGAGAGAAGAGACACCCGAGACUCCUUCCUUUCCUGGCCGACUGGCAAAGCACAUUCCCUGCUGUGAUCUGUCAGUGCUGUAGGUAACGUCUGUGAUGCUGUGGGGCUUUCGGGAUAAACCCCGAAUGUGCCCAGGUCCGUGGGCCUGGCCCACUCUGCCUUGUAACCCUUCUCCCCAUCAGGUUCAGAAAGCCUUCACGGCCGCCGUCCCCGCCGGGGAUGUGCUCCCUGCUGGCGCUGGGCCUCCCUGAGCCACAGCUCACAGCUGCGCCUGCGCCUCCCCGGGGCCGUCUCGUUCAUCAUCGCUUACUCUCGCGGUUGACACAGAGGAGACUGUCAGUAAACAGGGGAUAAACAAAACCGUGAAUUACUGAAGCGAAAGGUCUGCACCGCUCCCAGGAAGAAGUGUGUUGAACGGAGGACAGAAACGCGGCUCUGCUCACAGACUUGUCAGUGUUAAGGGAGAGCAGUCAGCUCCCUGAGCUUAAAAAAGUCAGUUA